rnacentral:rRNA from 1 species
UAGUACGGCGAGUGAACCGGGAAAAGCUCAAAUUUGAAAUCUGGCUGUCUUCGAUAGUCCGAGUUGUAAUCUAUAGAAGCGUUUUCCGUGCUGAACUGUGUCUAAGUCCCUUGGAACAGGGUAUCAAAAAGGGUGAUAAUCCCGUACUUGACACAAUCAUCAACUGCUCUGUGAUACGUUCUCUACGAGUCNAGUUGUUUGGGAAUGCAGCUCAAAAUGGGUGGUAAAUUCCAUCUAAAGCUAAAUAUUGGCGAGAGACCGAUAGCGAACAAGUACCGUGAGGGAAAGAUGAAAAGCACUUUGGAAAGAGAGUUAAACAGUACGUGAAAUUGUUGAAAGGGAAACGAUUGAAGUCAGUCGUGUUCAUUGGAUUCAGCUAGUUCUUCUAGUCUACUUCCUUUGAACGGGUCAACAUCAGUUUUGUCCGGUGGAUAAAGGAUUUAGGAAUGUGACUCCCUCGGGAGUGUUAUAGCCUACGUUCACAUACACUGGGUGAGACUGAAGACUGCAGCUCGCCUUUUG